rnacentral:lncRNA from 1 species
UAUGCUAUUGGACUCAUCAGAGUAGGGGAAUAAUCAUGCACUCAAAUUAUGUGGAUCCAUGGGAUCCUCAUAGACUUCCAAGAGUAGGUCAGCUUGUGGUUUCUCAUUUUCUUCGUCAUCUAAGGGGGAUGGAAAGAGUGAAUUCCACAUGCUUAGUAAGAAAAACAGUAUUAAAUUAACAUCAUAAGGUUUUAAAGAUGAAUUAUUUUACUUAAAAGCUUACCAUUUUGCCACCUCAUAGACC